UCUUACUAUGGAUCACUUCAGUAGAUCCUACCUCACCAAGGAGAACAGCACUAAUGCCGAUGCCUAAAGAUUCCAUGCAUGGUUCUCAGGAACUUCCAGGGGCUUCCGCACACCAGGGAGAAUGGACUCCUUUGAGUUUUGACUGCCGUAGGCUCCAAGGGAAAGGUGUGGGAAUUGGCUGUCUGCCUCAAGCUGGUUCCAGGCUGUUCAGUCCCCGGUCACUCUCAUCGUCUCUCCUUAACAUUAAUCCUAGGACAAGUUACUCAAAGGGUUGGGUGGAUGCCCCCCGUAGGACCCAAGAUUAAAUAACACUGAAUUACUUAGUGAGAAGGUUGUUCUCUUUUCAACUUUAUUUCAAUCCAUCUGAUUACCCAUAGGGAAAAAUCUGAGGUUGGUGCUAGAAUGUCUUCAACACCUUUUUAAUACUUGCCUAUCACACUUUUUUGCCGAGAGUGCGCAGGUCUCAGGUUCAUAGCCAUGGGGAAGCAACAAUACAUUCCAGCCAGAACGUAAUCAUUUUCAUUUUUUAUUGAAGCCUUUUUAACUUUUAAAGUUGGUCCCAUAAUAUAUUUACUGUAAGUUUUGCGGGUUUCCAUUUUCAAAAGUGAUAUUGCCUGUUUUGUAUAAAUGUUUUAAGUUUUAAAAGUGCAUUGAUUUAGAGAUAAAGAAAUAAGUAAAUAAUUGUGUAGACGGUGUGGGGAGUUUCACAGAAACCGUGAAGGUGGUGAACGAAUGAUUGAGGUAAGGGAAGCAGUGCUCCAAGGAAUCAGCUCCCUUUCCUUUCUCAAGGGCAUGAGGUCUCUCCAAGCCACAUCCCUCCUCCCUCGCUCACCCUGUUCUCUGCCAUACCUCCCUGUACGUUAUCUUCACUUUCAUUCUAAAAAUAAUCGUAGAGCCUCUUGGAGGUCUUUGACUACACCAAUCAUGCAUUCAUUUUCUGAACGUAACUCCCAGGAAAAAUCUGCUUGGUUUAAGUUGUAAAAUGCCUCAAAUGCUUUAAGGGAAAAGAAUACGAAGUCUUUCUCAGAAAAAGUUUUCGUCUACCAUCCAAGCAUGUUGCCCAGGAAAUGGAAAUAAAGAGCAAGCUACAAACUGAACAUUUUCAAUGAGUGAGAGGAGAGGUUUGCCAUGCAAGAUUUAAAAGGUGCUAGAGUGGAGAGAGCAACAGAAGAACUGUCUGGGAGUCUACCUAGACAGACUGUCUCCUCUUCUCAUCCUUAGCCUCUUUUCAUAGCUUCAAAUGCUCUCGUGGAUUUUAAGUUCAUUUCUGUGACACCACCAUCCUCUACCUUUUUCAUGAUCAUGCUCUCUAGAUAGAUAGAUAGAUAGAUAGAUAGAUAGAUAGAUAGAUAAAUUUCCAUCUUGAUAUCUCAAAGGCACCUCAAACUCACCAUACACCCAAAACACAUUCCUUAUUUUCCCCCACAAAAUUUUCUUCCUCUAUUUCUUACUUUGUUCAAUGCUGUUAACCAUGAUUCCAUAAAGACACUAGGGUCCCCAUUGCCUCACUUGUCUCCUUCAUAACACACAUCAACAAUUCUCCCUGCUAAAUCCAGCCCCUUAGCUUCAUCCCCUCUGUCUCUGGUUAGUAAGGGCCUCAUCAUUUGUCACUUGAAUGCUAACAGGUCUUUUUGCCAUAGGUCCUUUUUGCCCCAUCCCAAGUGAUCUUCCACACAGAUUGCUAAAUUGCCUGAAAAGUAGAAUCUGACCAAGUCUCUCCCCUGCUAAGCAAUCUGGUCCUGGUCCCUCUUGUUUCCUUUAGCUAAUUUUUCCAGGCCCUUUGAACAUGAUACUCACCUUCUUACCUACUGGGUCUCCUAUUUCUCCCCACCCACAGGGAACUACUCAGCUGGCUUCAAAUACUGAGUGUUCUAUCAAGUCUUCGUGCCUUUGCAUGAGUUCCCUCACUUUCCAGAAUGCUUUUUCUGUCCUGCUGUGUCUGGAAAUUUCCUAGCCUUGCAGCUUAAAAGCCAGUUCCUCUGGAUAACACUCCUUCCUGAGAAGGACCCCCAUGGCAUGCACAUUCCUCUGCUCUGCCAUUUAUCCUUUUGCAUUAUAACGCAGUGUGUUUGAGUUUCUUUCCUUCAGCAAAUGGCUAAUAUCUCAAAGUCAUGGGCCAGUGUCUAAUGCAUAGCUGGUGCUCAAAGAUUCUUGUCAAAGAAGAAAUCAUAUAUUGACUGAGGGAGGAAUGAAAAGCAGUGAUGGGCUUGAGACAGCCAUUUAGAUUGCCCAAAAGUAAAGUCAUUGUUAGCAUUUGUGUGUGCCUCUACCCCUGACUGGGGAAAUGGAGGGUCUUAACUAAUCAAAUGUUCUUAUUAGGGAAGGAAGGCUUCCAUGCAGCAGGUCCUCAGCAGACGUUUUUGAACUGAAUCAAACAGUAACCAAAUGUAGUACAUGGAUUAUCAAUUUUCAAAUAUGGUCAUACUUCACCUAAGACGCUUAAGAUGGGGUUACCUUCGGAGAAAUGUGUACUUGGGUGAUUUUGUCAUUGUACAAAUAUCCGAGUGUACUUACACAAACCAAAUGGUGUAGCCUACUACAUACCUAGGCUAUAUGGCAUUAAUCUUGUGGGACCACCGUGCUUUAUGUAGUCCUUUGUUGAUCGAGGCAUCGUUAUGCCAUGCAUAACUGUACCUGGAACAUUGCAUACUCUCAACAAGAUGGAACCUAAUCAAAUCUUCUUUUGAUGACUCAGAGACCUUGUUGCAAUUUCACAGGACAUUGAGAUCCUCGUUCAUCACGGUCAUCCAACAUUACUGCCCAGCACUUCUGUACCGGCUGUGAUUUGAAAGGCAAAAUUUGAUUUGUGGAAAACCACAAACUCUCCCCAGGUUAAAAUAUCUCCCUUCUUAGUAUCUGAACUGCCCCAAUGAUCUCUUUAGAGGAGGAGAUUAAAGCAUUAGAUCUGCAGGUUCUCCUGGUAAAACAGCAAAAUCCAGUGUGGCAGGCAGGAUAAUGGCCCCUUAAGACACCCGUAUUCUAAUUCCUGGACCCUGUGAAUAUGUUACCUUCUAUGGCAAAAGGGACUUUGCAGAUGUGAUUAAGUUAAGGAUCUGGGACAGGGUGAGUAGCCUAGAUGGUCCAGGUGGGCCCAUGUAAUCAUAAGGAUCCUUAUAACGGAAAGAGAGAGGCAGGAGAGGCAGAGGCAGAGUCAGAGUAGGAGAUGGGACAACAGAAGCAAAGGUUGGAGUGACGUGGUCACAAGCCAAGGAAUGUGGGCGGCCUCUAAAAGCUAGAAAAGGCAAGGGAAGGAUUCUCUCAUAGAGCUUCCAGAGGGAACACAAUUCUGCUGACACCUUGGUUUAUAGUUCUGGAGGACUUCUGGCCUCCAGAACUCUAAGAAUAAAAUUUGUGUUGUUUUAAACCACUAAAUUUGUGGUAAUUUAUUUAAGCAAUAAUAGGAAAGUAAUGCACCCAGAUUAAACCCUUAUAAUUCAUAAACUACUCACAUCUGAUUGGAUGUCAGUUUAUUUGACUAUUGGAUGAUUUUUAAAACUAUGACAGCUGGGUGAGGGCAGGAAUCCGUUGGGAUGAAAAUCAGGGAAAGGAAAUCAGAAGAGAGCUACCACUUCCUGAGUGUUCGUUGUUACAAAAAUACCUUUUGUUUUCACGUUUACUCCUCACAACCAUGUGAGAGAGAGAAAAAUACUCCCAUUUUACAGAUGAGGCAACUGAGGCUCAGGCACUUGCACAAUAUUCAGAUUAGACAAUUGUGACCGAGAGAGUGAGGCACUUGCACAAUUAUUCUGAAACUAAUAAGUGGUAGUGACAAGACUGGAACUCAGUUCUCUCCACUUGCUAGCCAGAUCCCACAGCACGCGGCCUUCAGAGGCCAGCCCUGCCUGAGGGGUGUUAAGGCUCAGCGGAUGUUAUAUGGCUAAAUUCUCUUCAGCCAAGGGCAUCGUGAGGGUGUGUGUUUAAGAUGCAGGCCCUCAACAGUGUUCUCACAGUGUGAUGCUGGACCAUUUGCAUGACUCUCCUGGGUAUCUAUGAAUACUAGCUGCUGGCCUUCACCCCCAAACCUGCUGGAUCAGAGGGCUGGGGUGGAGGACAGGAAUCUGCAGUUACAGCAAGCUCUCUGGGAAAGUCUGAUCUCAAUGAAGCUCGAGAAACAGUCAAUGAGGUAAAAUCAGGGUCUCGAAAGGAGGAGGUGGCAGUGGAUUUACUAGAGACUUCUGUGACAACCAGCCUGCGUGACCAUGAAUAGAAAAUUCUUGCUAAUAAAAUAUCCCAGAAAGUAGGUUUUGUUUUAAAUGCAUCAUUGGAAAGAUGAUUUACCUUUCUGCUUGGCUUGAAUUAUAGGGUAGAGGGUCGUACACAGACCUAACUAGGGGUACAGGUGAGAGGGCGGCAAAUGGAAAGGGAAGAGGAGAGAGAGGGACUUGCUUAUGGAGUAAGCAUAUCUUCUGAUGCCUCCUGUUUCCAAUGAGAAGAGAAAAUGAGUCUCAGUCAGUCUACUCUGGGGAGCCCGGGCUUGCAUUAUGCAGUACUUAGGGGAUUCACCUUUAGCCUCUCUUUCCUCCCACACCUCCCAGCUCCUGGGCCUCUUCUGAGAUCAGGCACAGAAUGUCAAUCCCUGCUGACAUUCCUCUUCCAAAUAAGGUUAAAACCAAUGAAAGGCCAAUUAUGCCCCCAGGCCAAGAGCCCAAAGGCUGAGAACUGUCCUCUGGUGAGUCCUGGAAGAGCAAUUACAAACACCUGACAGGGUGGGCGUGCAAAGUGCUGCCUAGCACCCCACUUCAGGACAGGGGUGUCGUCACCCCAUGCGCCGGAACCAGAUAAUACGCAUGAAGCUGAAUACUGGAAUUCUCUACCACCAUCCUCUCAUUUCCUUAUACUCCAGGGACCAAGGGCUGCUUUCUCAUCAUAUUGAUGCCUCCAUUGUUACAACUCCUUCUGAAGUAGACAGGGAAGAAGUUAUGGAUAUUCAAGAGAAAAUUCGCUGCUAGGUGCUCCCUUUGUACCCAGCAUCCAGCAUUCUCAUGCCGGUGUCCCCCCCAUAUCCCCCCACACACAGUUUUGAUAUUCAGAACUUAUGAUAAGGAGUUUCUCAGGAACACAGGCCAGCCUUAUAGCUGCAUGCCCUGCAGGAGAAAAGCCAGGCCUUCACCUUACCGAGAAAAGUGGCUCUGGAAAGCUACCUGAGUUGCUGGGUGGUGCUGAGAGCCUUCCUUGAGUUUCCUUCUAUGGUUAAGCUUUUUGUCCACUGGGUCUUGGCCUCACUUGCCACUUAAAGCUAUUAUCUAACCAGAGGAAAAGGUACUUCACUAGAAAUGCAAUAUGCACCCAGGCUGUGGGUUUAGCAACCAACUUUCCACUUAAAUUAUUUGGUGUUUUUCUUUUGUCUGUCUAUGAUGCUCUCCCAGCAUGGAGCCAGGUGAACUGUGAGGGCCUUGUCUUCCAGCCACAGGCUUCUCUCUAGCCAGCAAUGAAGUCUGCAGUGAAAAAUAAUUACAAAGUACACAGCAUUUCUGGUCUUUCUAGUAAUUACAGAUGCAUCUGCAGCUCUCAUCACAUUUCAAUAUGGACUGAGCAGGAUUCACUUCAAAGGUUGGAAUGAGAACAUUAUGGCUAUACCAUUCAGCAUCCCCAAACAACUGCCACCAAACAUAGCUCAAGCUGUCUCUAUGGGAAAUAGGCAUAAAGUGUGGGCACAUAUGGAAAUUUCUCUGAGCUUCGACAGGUUGAUCCCCAAGACUUUUGCCUCUAAUCCCUGUCUCUCUUGGCAGCCUUAUCCCUUUCUUCUUCUCCUGAGAGUGGAAGGGAAAAGAGAUAGGAUUUACAGUAUCAGCAAUUUAUCUGCAAUAAAAAUGAAAUCUAUUACAAUGCAUUAAUAGCUCAAGAGGCUGAAAUAUGCCAUAAAUAUAAAAUCAAGCAAGUUGAGAAUUUCACAGGAAUAACAAAUGGAUGGCUGCUGGCAUGGAGACCACUGUUGACCACAGAAUGACCCAAUCUUUAUUUCCCUGUCAAUUUAAUGCAACAGUCAUUUCCAUUUGUUAGACCACACACUGUCCCAAGCAUCUUGCUAAACACUGUACAGGUUUCAUCUCAUUUCAGACUCCCAAGAACCCUAAAAUAUGAGUAUGGUCAUUAUUCCCAUUUUACAGACGAGGAAACUGAGACUCAGAGAGAUUAUGUAAUUUGUCCAAGAUCUAACAGAGCCAGGGCUUAAACUGGUCCUGCUUUCAGAGAGAUUUUCCUGUCCCUUGCCCUCUUACCUUUCGACCUUGCAUAAUGAGUGAAAGUAUGUGUUAAAGUUCUCUUAGAUGAGCUACACUUUCUGAGGGCUUGACAUGAAGACCUUCUCAAUACAGAGCCAGAGAACAGAGAGCACAGAUUUCUUUCUCAGAUAGUGAUCAGCAAUGAAGAUUUCUGCAGCUUGGCCUGCUUAUUUAUGUGCCAAGAAGAGAACCUCCGAUUCUCUGAGGACUUGUCAGCAGACAGAUGCUCUAGGAGGAGGGGUACACUUGCCAACUUGAAAUGGCUGCAAGUUGUGAAGCUUAAAAUUAUACCCUAUAAAUAAUGGACAAACUGGUCAUUAGGAGACAAUUUCAGGAAAAACAUCCCUUCCAGGCUUGGGGAAGAAAAAACAAACUAACUAAAGCUUCUGCUUUCCUAGACUGUAAUUCUUCCCCAAAGAUACUAUCCAAGGUGGCAUGAUUUAUCCGAGUGGACAAGGAAUCAAACUACCCUUGCUGAUUCUAUUGAUCCUUACAGCUAAUUCUUUAGAGAAGAAAGUUGUAGGAGGUCAAUAAAUCUGUGGAGUCCUUGGGUUCUAUGGGGAGAGGGGCCACAGAAAUGCUCCAACAGAGAUGGAGAAGAGAUGGAGAGUGAUUCGGAAGAUAUUUCAUCUUCAUGGAGAAGCCCUGCAUCAUGAAUUUCUCAGCCAACUUUCUUGGAGUGUAUGGUUUAUGGCAGUGGCUCACCACUAUGUCUCUUUAUAAAAGAGCAAGACCCACCUGCUAAGAAGCAAGUGCAGAGGGCCCACAGCAGACCACAGCAGCCUACACCAGACCCCAGAUCGCUGAGCCCAGAUAUUACCUUGAAUAAGCUGCCUCCUAAGGGGGUGCCCAUCUUCUCUGGGCAUCCAGCCUCCCUGUCAGAACUGCCCUGCAAUCUAGACACACUAUUGCAGGGUGGGCUAGUCAGCUGGGUCAUAAAGGGUCCUCCAUGCAGCCUGACUCCAGGUUGGGUCUGGCUCCACAGGGGGCUGCGAGGUCAUUUAGGCACACCAGGCCUUGGUCACCACCACCUCAAAAACCCCACUCCACACAUAUUUUGCAAUUAGGAUCUCACACAGAUAAAGACUACUGUGUUCUUCCUGUGCAGUAUAGCUUAGUGUCGAGGCUGUGGAGUCAGACAAUCUAGGCUCAAAGCCUGGCUCUGUCACUUACUAGAAUGUGCUCUUGGCAGAAUAUUUACCCUCUCUUUGGCCCAGUUUCCUCAUUUGUGAAAUGAAGAUAAUACUUUCUAUCUCUUGGGGCUGUGAGAAUUACAGGAGAUGCGUGAAAACUCAUAAACUGGUAGUGUAGUAUCUAUAGUAGAGAUUUCACUCCAUAAAUGAUAGUCCGCUUCCUCCUUUGUCUUCAUAUUCUAAUGAUGAUUAUUAUUACUCAUUUAAAUUACUAUGUGCCCUAACUUAACAUGGUCCAGGUACUCUCCGGUUCUUUCUUUCUUCUUCUUAGAGUAAGACCCUGGUACCAGCCAGGCCCUGGGCUAAAACAUUUAAUCUCUCAUUAGGAAAAACAAAGGACCAGGAGUUAGGAAACCAGGUUUGGAUUCUGAUCAUGACUCAUGGUAUGACUUCCUUUUGCCAACUUGCUUGUCUGUUCAAUGGGGAUAACAACUUUCCCAUCUUCCUGGGCCAUCACGAGGAUAAAAUGAAAACACAGGUCUGAAGAGUUUGCAAAUUUGAAAGUGCUAUAUAAAAGUAAGAGGGUUCUAUUGUUUGUUUGUUUCUAUAGAAACUUUUUUCUCCUUUUGGCUUACCCAGCUUCAGUUUGCCCAGCCAAGAUACUGCAUCCAGAACCUGCUCUGUUAUUUGCUUAUGUAUUUAUCUACUUUUUGCUUCUCACUGUUUCUUCUUCUCGACAACCCACAACUUAGGCUUCUUACCGUUUCCAAUUACCUAGAAAAACAUCCUUCUGCUUUUCACCUAGCACGAUGGCUGGAGCAUUGAUCUGCCAGCUAGAUUAGUGAGGUGUCCUCACGAGGGAAACCUGAAAGCUCUCUUCCAUUCCUGGUUUACACACACUCACUUUCUAAAUGCAAAGUGGCACCAUGUUCAGACAUCUUGGAUGUGAAGGGCUCUAAGGCUCCCCAGAUAGUGAGCUGGGCACCCCUGAACUACGUGUCAGGUAGUCCAUUCAUCCUCAGGGGACCAACCUCACAGCCCUUGAAUACUCUGGACUAUCUCAAUGGCUCUAGACCUGAAUCCCGUGUUGCAACAAUUCCUUGACCACCAUUUGCCCCUCACUGUGAGCCAGAGCUCGGCAUAAACUAAGCACUCAGCAAUCCUGAUUAUGAAGAGUCAAGAGAUUAAGAGGAAGGAGAGAAGGAGAGGUGAGGUUGGAAAAGUUACCGGUAUUCUACCUGGAUACCAAACCCAAGGCAGAGAGUCAUUCCCCAGAACCUACAAACAACCCUCUGCUAAGAAUGGACUUAAAGUCUCACUGAAUAGACAACAUAGGCCCCUUUUCAAGAGGUGGCUGAAUAUAGUGUGGGUUGGCUAAGCAGGAAGUUGAGGAUUAGUUCCUCUUCUCUACCCAGCCAUGAGAUGAAGCACAGAUGAGCGAGGGCACUGGCCCCUGCCCAUUUAUAAGGCAGCUCCUGCCAAAACAAAAUAUACUCUCUGUUCUCCCCUCCAAACUAAACAGUAGUUUGUCAAAUGGAUGAAUAAGAAGAAAAGUGACAAUUUUCCUUUAUGUUAAUAAAUUGCUUUGGGCUAAAAAACAUUAAUCAAUUUCUUUCCAAAGUACACAUGCUUCUCUAUACUCUGCUAUUUGCCUGGCCUUCAAAAGAAAGUCACUUUCAAUCCCCUUUUAAUUGUCAAGAUCAGUGGGGGCAGUUGCAAGAGUGGGGUGAGGAGCUCCCUCACUCCCAAUGAUUAUAAUGGAACCCUGUGGAGUUUCCAUAGAAACAUAAAGAGUGUAUUCUUCCCUGAAUGUGCGUGGAGGGGAGGAGUGAACAGUGAUGUUGCUGGCAAGGUGUACAAUUACUGAAGAGCUGAAGUGUAGAGUAUGAUUUUCGGCAGCAGGAAGGCAGGUUCCAUGAAGUUCUACAGAGUAUGGAGGAAGCGGAACCAGUUGAGGAGGCAUCUCCCCCACCAAAGUCCCCAGCAGAACCCCCGGUUCCUGAGAAACAGGACUUAAGGCGGAAAACCAAGAAGGUGAAGAAGAAAUGCUUCUGGUGGAUCUGAGCUGGCUGAGACCCUUCCCUCUGCCCUCCCCACAUACCUCCCUGAGGUGGGGAAACCACUGCCCUCAGGCCUUCUCUGCUUCUUAGCAAAGGCCCCAGGCUGUGGGCCUCUUGACCUGCGACCUGAGAAAUGGGAAAGCCACUGCAGGACACCUGACCACCAACCUCACCUGAGUGAGCACCAUUGCUUGCUGAGGACUUCACAGACCCUAGAGUGACCACUUGCCUAGUUCCUUGUCACACUCAACCAGGCCACAUCCUGGUUUGCGAGUCUGGAUUCCUACCAUGAGCAAAGCCUCCUUCGCACUUUCCAAUACCUCUGUGAUGCUAAGUGCUUCCUUUCCAUCCUGAGUUCAUCAUCCCAAAAGAAAGAAGAAAAAUGUUGUGCAGAGCAGAAAGCUAGAGUAGGGUUAUAAGCAGAAACUACAGAAAAAAUUAGAUACAUAAACUGGCAGUUUUCUAAGAUAUUGGCAUACACAAGCACAAGAGAAGUGGACAGGGCAUAAACAUGCAAGAUCACCUGGUGGGUUGGGUCAUUUUCAUGUUUAACUAGCCCCUUGGUCCAAAAUCAAGGAUUUGUCAUUGCAUGUUGUGUGGGCCUUGCAGUCCAUGGCAGAGUGAUGUCACCGCAGGGUACAAGGAACUUGUUGGUGUGACUACCCUGCAGUUGUAGCUGCUCCAGGGCCCACUUAAACCAUCACGCUUCUCAGCCUGGGCCUGGGACCGCCUGACAAAUGGGUGAGAUCUGGUUUGAGUUUGAGCUUUAAGAUUCCACAGUUAAUUUCACUGCAACAUUUAAGAUCAUGAGAUCCAGGAUCCUGUCUGUCUGUUUCAUCUCACCAGUAACAUAAAUAAGACUAAGAUAAAACACAACACUGGUUCUUGUCCAUUCAUCCUUGCAACAGUCUUGUAGAUUGGUUCAAAAGUAUAUGAGUCUACACAAUCGCCCUUCCUGGUGACCGGGCAAUGGUCACCUGACUGGAGAAGGAGGACGAGAGAUGAGGAUAUAUUUCUUUCCAUUUUAGUAUUAAAGACCUCUCCUUCCCAAAGUCUCAAUUCCUUUAAAGUCUGGCUCACUCUUUUGACAAGACUUCCAUACAUGUGGGUCCAGUCAAACUUGCACGGCUGAGCAAACUACCAAAGUAAUAUAAUUAAGUAAUUGCUACAUACUCUUGGGGAUGAGAGGUUGGUUGGUAAGGCUCAUAUUCCUUCUCGUUAAGUUCUCUACCAGCCUGUGCUUGGAGUGAUGCUGCUUAGAAAAGGGAUCCCCCGGCUCAACAUGCAUUCAGGGAAGAAGGCAUUUCAUAAUCCCCUUUGCUGAAGAUCGGGUGUCUGAGUUAGCGUCUUUGCAGAGCGCAGCAUCCUAGGUGAACGUGGGAUGUACGUACCCCACUGCAAAUUGAGACUAAUUGAGCAAACCACUCCAGCAGUUGCACCCUCCCCUGUCACAGCGCUGCAGUGCGCAAAGCUAUUUCAGCGAGAGGGAGAGGGACAUUUGGCAAGGAAUCUCGGCUUGCACUAUUUAAGUCUUGGAAUGUCAUUCAAGAUGUUCUUGUUCCGUUUCUAGUGUAAUGUUUAAACCCACAAAAUGGGACCGGAAUCCAUAAUGUUAAGUUAGAAUUAAGAUAAAUACACUUGUCAUACUUAAGAAGCCACAUUUUAAUAAGAUAUGCUACUACUGGCUAACAGCCACAGAUCUUUCUGUACCCAUACAAUCAGCUCUCAGCUGGCCCCAACAAUGGAAAAGAAGAGCACAGAGCAUAAUCCAAUACAGCAAAAUCAUUUGGGAUCUCUCAUACAAUUUUAUCUUGUAGUAAAGCUUCCAUCUUAAUUUGCUUUGCUUACGCUAAUUUUCAAAUUAAUUUGUAUUCUCGGGCAGCACACUACAAUCAAAACAAUCCUGUUCCUGGAAUUAAGAGACCCAGGCAACAGAACAAUCUAUUUCACUAACCUUGAGCAAAUUACUUAAAUUUUCAGGGCCUGUUUCGUCCAUUCUUGAAAGGAGAUAUAAACACCUACUCUACCUACUUUAUAAGUUCUGUGCAUGUUCCAACAUCAAAUGAGCAGAAUGACCCAGAGCCGAGCUGGGUCAUUUGCCAAAGUUAGCCUGGAAUGAUGAAGAGGUGUCUGGGGUAACUCACACAAACAGGAUAAUCCAGCCCCUGGAUAAUUAAGACAUCUAUGUUGCCAUAGAUUUAUAUUGAUACUGAAUUAAAUAAAAUCGGGAUUGGAAAUUGUUGACAUUUCUAGAAAUAAAGCCAAACUAGGCUAUAAUGAUUCUAUACCAAAGCACAACACAGCAUUGCUCAGGCCACGGACCUGAACCUGGGAAGGAGGUCUCUUCUGAAAACAGAACCUUUAAAAUCGUUAGGAGGGAAAUGAAUUCAGUAAACACCUUCCUGCUAAACAAAAACAACCAUCUCUAUGUUUGAAAACAAACAAGCAAACAUAUAUACAUAUACCAAAACUCUAUACUCAUCUACUCGUGUGCAAAUCGCUUCUUUGUAAAAUAUUAUGUAACAUCUACCGUGAUAGUAUACAGAAAUGCUGUACUUGAGGUUAUACGGUUUUAUGGAGAGAUAUUAAUUUAGCAAAAAUUACUUUUAUAAAAUUGAAAGGAAAAAGACUAAUACAUCAACUUAAGUUGCAGGAGUUUAUGUAGCUGCUUUCUCUGUAGUUAAAAAAAAAAUGCAUACUCACUAUACUUGCAACUGAAUACCAGCUCAUCUGUGGAGCACCUUCUUAAAAACUAUGUACUGAUGUAAGGUUUUGUAAAUUUCUAAAAUGUUUUAAAUGGGAUAUUAUCUUUUGCAAUAAACUUAAAUAUUUUUCCUAGGUUUUAAGACUCUAUUACUAGCUUGGGUGGAUUUGGGUUGUAAAAUUUAAACUUAAGAAUGAUCCUCCGUGGUCCUAAUGACAGCAACAGUUGUCAUUAUAAUGGCCUCUAUAUGUUUCCCAAGGAAAUAAAUAAGCAAAGAACAGAUUCAGAACUCAGCGCCACAAUGAUCCCACGAAGGCCCACGUGUCCUGGGAGCAGGGGAGGCUGUGUGAAUCAGGGGAGCAGCUCGCAGCCUCAUGCAGGUGGAUGCACAGUUAUUAUCUACAGCAUUAUUCUGCCCUUACGCCUGAACUAUAAUUUUUCAAUAUUUUUCUUUAAUUAUUUUUCCCAUAAUUUUCUUCCUUAAAAGGCAACUUUAUAUCACCACCAUGAGGAAAACCAAUAUGAGGUUCCAAAAAUGGAAGAUGAAAUCAAAAUAAUUUUAUUAAAUUCUUGCUAGAGACUGCGGAGUGUUGAAGGCGCUAAGUCUGAGUCCAGCUCUCUUUGUUAAAAAGGGAAAUUAGCAAAUAUUCAACACAUGCUAAAGCCCCUUGGACACCAAACACAUUUUCUACUUGACUAACUGAGAUGUUUGAGAGAGAACUGAAAAGAAAACAACUUUCCCAUCGUGUGUUUCAAAUUUCUUUCCUACACUGUCCAUGAGCCCUCUAAAACCAGCUUGUUUACCAAUUUAGAGGGGAAAAACAGCUGGACAAAGAAUCAGAAGUCUUGAGUUUGAUAUUAUUCCGCUACCUUUUUUUUGCUGGGUGACCUCGGGAAAGUUAACCUCUGAGCGCCUCUGAUUCCUUUUCAUAUAAACCUUGCCUCACAAGGGAGUCCUGGUAAUUAAGUGGGAGAAAGUCAUGAGUACAAUAUAGGGUACGCAACAGGUGCUCAAUAAAUGCAUGUUCAUUCAUUUGUUGAUUGAAGUUAAUUGGGAGAGAGGUCAGAAGACGCCUUCAUGGGGCUGCAGUGGGUUUUCAGAAACAGGCUUAAAAUUUUCUCAGGGGAAAAAGCAGUGUUGAUAAGCAAUGCACUCCUCCUGGCCUUAUUAAGACUGGAAACCAUGACAAUGAACCUUAAGUAACAAAGUCCUCAGUGACCUGGGAGAAUUCACAGGCAUAGAAAGCACAGCAUAGCACUCUGGGGAAUGAAGGGUUCUUGACGCAUGGAAUCAAAUAUCCGAGAAGUGAAAGACUCUGCAAGAAGCCGGUCCCUGCUAUUUUAAGCAUAUGGCAAUUAAGGAAGGCUUGAUCCCAGGGUUUGCAGCAAUCACGCGGGUUAGUGAGCGUCGGGAGCAAUGUAGUCGGGGGUGGAAUGAGUGAGGGCCUACUGGACAUCACGGCUCAGGGCAGUUCCGGGAACCACUGACACUAGACUUGAGACCCAUUCUGAGCUCCAGGUAGUUUCUUCAUUAGCUGAGCAGAGGCCUUAAUAUAGCCAUUGCUUGAAAAGUCUCUCAUUUUAAGCUGCUUGAGGCAACUUGCUGUUUGCUAAAAACAUAUUUCUUUUUUUAAGUUCCAAGAAACAUAGAUGUUUAAUGAUUAUAAUGCCAAUCAAGCGUGGCUCACAAUAAAAAGAGCUGAGGGACAAAUCCAUACCCAACGCUGUUAAAGUUUGGCUCAAACCAUGUCUGACCGGCUUAAUGGUCAUAACCCCCUCUUUGGGAACUUUCAUCUAAACUUCCUCCCCAUCUUCUUUCAACCAAUUAACAGCCUGAACACCUGUUGAUCAUGUCUACCACCCCACUCCUGUGGUUUCCCAAAUCUAUGAUUUCCUUCUGCCUCCUACAGGACCCUGAGUCCAUGGAGAGCAAACCGAGAGCUUGGUUUCCUCAUCGCCCAACUAAGUCAGGUUCCAAGGUAGGCGUGCCUCUCCCCUACUGGCAUGCUGUUCCAAACCCCCUUCUCCCUCAGCCGGCCCCCACAGAGGCGUCCUGUCUGGUCUCCUCACAUGCACUCUCUUUCCCUUCCAGCACAUUCUCCAAGCAGCAGUGAAGCAAUCAUUGCAAAAUUUAGCUCUGAAUCAUGUCACACUCUGACUGAAAACUAUUCAAGGGCUUCCCAAUAAACUUAGGAAGUAAGACCAGGUCUGUCGCUAAGGCCCAGAAGGCCCUGCAGGCCUCUCCUGUGGAAGCUCUCGUCACAGGCCCGGGCGCUGUUGCUCUCCAGUCACACUGAGCCACCCUGAGUUCCUCAGACCCAUCACCGCAACCCUCCCUAAAGGCUCUGUAUACACUUUUCCUUUUGCCUGGAGUAAUCCCCACCACGCCAUCCUCUCUGCCCAAGUUUCCAGCUCUGCUGGGACUCCCCAGGUAAGACCUUCCAUGACUACCACCACCACUGCCCUAGACCACACCAAAUACCCCUCUUAACACACUCAACUGACACCAGGGACUCCUCCAUCAAAGGUCUUGGCACAGUUGUCCUUGUACAUAUAUUUGUGUCAUUCUUUGAUGAAUGUAUUUCUCUUUUGUUAGCCUAUAAUCUCCCUAAGGUAGGAACCCUGCUUAUUUUUGCUCACCUUUGUAUCUCCAGCACUUAGCUCAAUGGGAUUCAAAUAUUUGUUGUAAGACUAAGUUAAUGAAUGAAAUGUUAGUGGAGAGACACGAAGAAAUGAUUUCCAGUUUUUUCUUUGUCAGUCCUCACAUGGGGCUGAUACAUGGGUGGGUACAGGCUCUGUCUGUGCACCCAGGAGCAUCCAGCCUUCCACUAAUUAGAGCCUUCAGCAGCUAAUGUGCCCAGGGCUUCUAAUUCCACUGUGGUCCACACGGCAUUCAGAACCCAGGGACAUCAAGCCACUACCAUCCUGCCCUACCACCACCCCCGCAACACCUUUAUCCUGAAUAGCGACAGCCCAGCUUAACCUUGUUUCAGAACAAAUUGCCACCAUAAUUAAAUCCCAAUGCAUUUUGCACAUUUUACCAAGAUACUGCCUUACCAUAUGAAAGAGAAAAUUAGUUUUGAAAUUAAAGCAGAUUGUUAACUAUUUUCAUUGUAAUGUUUCCAUUAAAAUGCCAGAAUUUAUUACAUGUGACCUAGUCCAUUUCAGACAAAAUGCAAUUUAAAGGAGACAGGGUCUGUCUAACUAAAGAAGCAUUUUAGGCAGAGCAUUUUGCCUUGGAUACCACAAUGAAAAUGAAAAGACAAUAAGCAUCACGCCAAAGAAUUAUUUGCAACAAAGCAAAUAAAAGCUCUAUAUUCAUGAAUGGCUUUCACAAAUUCUCAGAAUCCAUAACUGUAUUAUAUUAAAUUUCACUCAGAUGAAACCUGAAUUUUUUUUCUCCUGGCAGAACCUCAAUAUAUAUGUAUUUUCAAUCAUCAGCUAAACACGGCGACCUCUCCUCGGUGCUUGGGCUUGGUUUCCAGGUAGCACACGCAGUGUUGUGACACCCUUGGUUAUGCUGACAAAAAAGUCUGCUUUCUCCUGAGCCAAAUGCGCUGAGUCACGUAAUUGUUGAAGGCAAGAGUGGCUCAGAGGGCUCUUCCAGCCAGCACACUGAACCCACCCCACAGGCAGGAGGAACACAUGCCCUUUCUCGAUUCGCCCACCUGGACAUCACACCCUCUCCUCUUGACCCUCUUAAUGCUGUCCUUGUUACUCUCUUGUGAUGAUUAUUUGUCCCCAGUUAUAGCUGUUUCUAGUUUUCUUCCCCUUUCCCCACUAUACAUUCAAUGUCCUGAGAGUAGGAAUCGCUUUCCUCACCUUGUAAAGUCUUAAGUCCAGGAAGUCUUUGUUGGAUUGAAGCGAAAGACUUCCACAUCAGGAGCCCUUGUCUGUGCCACGUGGACCACUGCACUGGCCUUCAACGUCUGCUUUCCCUUACCGUUUUCCAGCUCCCUCAGAUCCAGCCUCCUCCCAGCCGCCUGGGGAUCUCUCUAAGACACACCUGGCCGUGUCAUUCUCUGGCUUUUAUAUCUCUAAUCUCACUCCCCUCCACCCCCACCAUCCUAGAGCAUAAAACUUCUCCCAUGGCAAACAAGGGUCCUUACAAUCUGACUGCAACCUAAUAUGUAUAGCCUAACUUCCUACUACCCCGCUUUCCCCUAUACCCAUCUCCUUACCACUUUCCAAAAAGUCAGGGACUAAUACACAUCAGAGACUUAGCAUAUGCUGUUCCAUCUACCUGGGACACUGUUCCAUUACCUACCUACCUUGGGAAAUAAUUUUCAUUUUUGGGGAAUAAAUGAAUAGCAGCCAUACUAUUACUAAUCAUGAUAAUAAAGGCUCUAGUUUCCUGAAGUUACAAUGGGGUAUUAUUAAACGCUUUGCUUUCAUUAUCUUAUUUAUUCCUCCAAAAGUUACUACAAGGUAGCUUAUGAUUACCUCCAUUUUCCAGAAGAAUAAUCGAGGCUUGGAGGGAGAUGAGCAAUUUGUCAAAGUCCACAAGUAUGAAGUGGUUGAAGGCUAGAGUUCUUUCAAGGUCUGCCGAACUUAGGAGCUUGGCUCUUAACUCCUAAGCCACACAGCAAGUUGCAAUUUAAAUGUCACCUCUUCUCUGUCACUUUUUCUGAUCAUCCCCUGCCCCUGCCAUGGGAUCAGUCACUCUGUCCUCUGAGGAUUCACAGGGCUUUGUACAGGCUGCUGCUUAUAUUAUCUUGGCACUUCUUUUGUCAGUUUCUCCCUCUCUUCUCCACCAGGGAGCACAGUCCUGGGGGAUGGGAUUGCCGUUUGCAGCUCUGGGCCCCUCCGAGUGGUUAUCACAUUGCCUGAGAUGUUGUAAAUGCUUCAUAGAUGUUUGUUGAAUGAGUUGGAAGAAAAUAUGGAGAUGAAAACAUUAAGAGGCAAAACAGUCCAGGGAGGAGAGAGACAGAUCAGGACGAGGCCAGGAGUCCUGACUUCUGCCCCUGAUUUUCUGCACAAUUUUGAACAAGCACCUUCACCUCCGUCCCCCACCUCUGUCUUUAAAAUGAAACCAUUUGCCUUUCUGACUUCACAGGCUGGUUAGAAGAAAAGAGAAAUUAUAUACAUGAAAAGGCUUCAGUAAGUUUGAGCACCUCAUUAAUUCCUAUUUUUAAAGAAACAGUGUUUGAGGCAUUUUUUUCCUGAUUAUAAAAGGGAAGCAAAAUCAUUUCAGAAAAGGUGAAACUACAGAAAUGUACAAAUCACGUGUCCUUUAAGCAGAAGAUACCAGCAUAAUUUAAGCUGCAGACCAGCGUCCUCAGGUCUGCCCUUGGGAGAUCCACGGCCACAUUUCUUCUUUCCCUGACCUUUAGGGUCCCUGAUGACUUUCUUGUUGUUUUUCUUGUUCUAUUCCUGUAAGCCUUUAUAUUUAAGUCAUAUAACGUUCUCAUGUUAUUAAAACACAUCAUAAAUAUUUAAUAUCUGCACAUAUGCAUCACUGUAUGAAUGUAGCAUAAAUCUAGAAAAAUUGGUGCUGAUUUUAAAGGAUCAUUUGGCAGAAUUGAUUCCUUUGAGUCAGUUAAAAAAGCGAGUGCCCUAGGCAGGGACUACAGGGACCAGAGACCUGCGGCCUGUUUCACUGGCAGCUGUUCCAACAGGGUUUCUCCACUGGCAGCUCCAGCCCUCAACAACAGUCCCAGGGGAGGGCACUCCCUGAUGGAAUUCUCCUCUGGUCUGGGAUUCAAGCCUUUGUGGCCGAUUCACCUCAAGGGGACUUUAUUCACAGCCCAGCCACAGCGACAGUUUAAUGUUACUUCACAAAUCCAGGAGAGCUCCCAAGUCAGGGCCAUAAAAUAGUUGUAAUCUGAUCCAUUACACUUGUGUCAAAGUAGGAGGCCACAGCACUCAAGGAGAACAAUAAAGGCUCUUAUUUACCAAGGGCCUUCUGUGUGUUAAGCCCUUCUUCCCUUUUUCACCAUGGGAUCGACAGGUAACAGCCAUGAUUAGCCCCAUUUUACAGAGAAGGAAACUGAAGAGCAGAACUGUGAAGUGAAGAGACUGUCUGGUUAUGAAAUAAGGCCUCCUCACUCCUUGAGAAAAGGAGGACCAGUUCCCAGCCAAUAAAAUCCUUUCAAACUCCAUACUUUGCGCCCCAAUUCCACAGCCCUUAGAAAGCAAUGUUAGGCAUGAGCGUGCUCAGUCAAUGGCCCGAUGGCAGACAUUCCAAAGUCCUAACGUUUCUAAAAUCCUCCAAGGGCCAGGAAAUAGAACAGGAGAUACCGUGGAGUCUUACCUUUAAGAACACACUUAAAAUCACUUGUUCAAAAUCAGAUCUGUCCAGCUCCACUAACAGAAGCCAAAAGGCACUGAGAUAUUUGGAAGCAAUUUCAUUAGGAUGAGGACGUACUGGUCAUGCACUUCCGAGUACUCGCAGUACAAUUCCCAGACUUGAUCUCUGCCUUGCCCUCUCAUGGUGCUGACAACAUGAGCCCCUGGGUGGCCAGUGGAGGUCCCAGCAUGGGCCUCAGCUUCUGCAGGGCCCAAGCUCACCUCCUGCAGGACCACGAGGCAUGGGUUCCUGAGCCAUGUGCGAAAGUAUCAUGGCAGCAGCUGCAGCGCAUGUAUUAUGUGGAAGCACUCUCUCCUCAGAGCAAAAGUCUGCUGGGCUGGCAGACCAGGGAGAAUACAGGAGCCAUUUUAACAAAUUUAGGAACCUCGUAUUUCCUCAUAAUUUCCAUCUCUGUGGUUCAUCAUGGAACAGAAGGAAGGUUUGGAAAAUAAAACCAGCUCUUUUAAUGCCCUAGCUCUCAAACUUUAAUUUGUCUAAAGGAAUUCUACCACACAGGGCUAGUAAAGUAUUUGGGGAUUUUAUAUAAAAAAGAUCCUAAGGGAAAACCUAACAUGAAACAAAUCUUUUGUCAUCUUGUUUUUUUAUAUCAAUUCUUUUAAAGCUAGACGUUAAUUUGUACUUUCAACUAGUUUGUUCUUUCCAUUCAUUUACACGCAGAGCUUGGAUAAGCUCCUGCUACACGCUGAGACCUGGGCCUACGGACAAGAACCUCAACAAUAAUAGGACACAGUCCCUUUCUUCAAGGAUCUUAGUCUACUGUGGAACAUGGAUAGGCAAGGAGAAAAUUCCCUUACAACACGGCAAUGCCGUAAUUGAAAAAUGGACAGAGAACAAUGAGGUCACCGAAGAAAGACGAUCUUGAGGAAUGAGAGAAGUUCUCACAGACCAGGAGAUGGAGAUAAGGCGAGAAAUGCUGCUCGCAAGCACAAUGCCCUAACACUUCCUCUCCACUUACUCAAAUUGUUCACAUCCUGCGAGAACGAGACCCAGCCCCAUGGAGUCUACCUUGAGAACUGACUUCUACCCGUGUAUGCUAUGGGUUCCUUGGGAGGUGAGACACUAAUCCAUAUUCUGCAUAUAUAUUUUAGGCCAUCAACUCCUUGAUAUGCAAUUACCAAAGUCCCUACUAAAGCAAAGCUUCCCCACCCACGGGACACAUGCGCCAUCCACAUUACCAUAUCAAAGAGCAAGAUCCCCCAAGUUAAUGAUGCCAUCUUUGGUUACCAACUGGAAUUUCAGGUCUCUUAUAUAAUGUUUAUCCUCUUUCGUAAUCUGAUUCACACCCUGAUCUCCUCCUAACACACACAUACACACACAGACACACACACACUCUUUCUCUCAGGAAACUUCUUAAUUAAGUUAAUUUUAUCUCAAGAAAACAAUUUCUUAGACAUGUAUAGCAAAAUGCUUAAGAAUGUGGCCUUUGAACCCUAUAGACCUGGGUAUGGACACUAGCUUUUUCCUUCCCAGGCAUAGGAUGCUGGACAAGGGAAUUAAACCCUCUGAUUGCUCCUUCCUCUUUGAGAGGGGAUGAUAAUUUUUGCCAACCUCGCAGAUUAAAUGUGAUAAUGCACUUAAAGUACCAUGUGUGUCAUACAACAAGUGUUCCGGAAAUGUUCACGGUUAUUAUUACUGACACACGCAUCCUCUGAAGAGAAUGAAUGAAUACUCCCCUGUUCCCUUUCCAUUUGGUCCAGUUGUUCAACAACAAUUCUCUCUCCUCCUUACUCUCCAAGCCUAAUCACAACAUAAGAGUCAUAAUAGUAACACUUUAUAAGGGUAAUGCAAGUAACACUUAGAUGUUAAGGAAAAGAAUGAUGGUUUGGAUGUAAAUAAAAUAGAUAGCAGAAAUCUUUCAUUCCUCAGCAGACAUUCACUGAGGUCAUCCCGUCUGCCGGGAACCCGUGUUUCCUGGAGAUGCAGAAGUGAUGAAGACAGACAUUGUUCUGCACUGCCGGGAAGGACGCUCUUACAACAGUAUGAUGAGUCCGUGAGGGAGGUGCAGGCUGAAGAGAGCAGAGGGGUCUGAACUUGGUUGAGUGGAAUGUGGGUCAAGAUGUGCCUCCCAGGCCAAGACAUGAAGGAGGAGGAGGAGUUUGUGAGGCAGAAGGUCUUGAAAAGAAAGGUAAGAGGAGUGUGUUCUCGACAGAUGGACUGGCAUUCAGGAGGGCACAAAGGAGAAAAGGAGCAUUCUUGGACUGACAGAGCAGUUUGUUGAGUUUGCACAAGAGUAGGAGGUAGGAGAGAGAGGCUGGGCCAGACUGGGCGCCCUGAGGGCUGUGGCAGGUAGCAGGACCUGCAUCCUCGGCCGCCGGAGAGCCACUGAUGCUUCCUCACCAGGGGAAGCCUACUUUAAAAGACCAUGUUGAUGACAGUAGGAAAAAUUCAAAAGGGAGGAGAGAAGAGACAGUGUAUCUCAUUAGAGGAUGUGGCAAUGGCAGCAGUGAGAGAUGGUCACUGCCAGAGCCAGGCUAGUGGCAUCGGAGGUGAGAGAGGCAUCUGGAUUUGAGGGCCUUUAGGAACUAGAAUGCACAGAGCCUGGAGAGGAGCUGGAUGUGGAAGGAGGAGACUCCCUCUCCCUCCGGAUCCCUUUAGAACCUCCACGUCUCCAUUCUGGCUUUGUCUUCUGUUACACCUGCUGUUUCAUAAAUGCCAACACUUAAGUAAAGCAAAAUUUCUUGUUCUGGUUUUAUAGGGUUUUAUGGUUCAAUUACCAGAAUUGAAGAGUUAAUCCUAAAGAUAUCUUUGUUAUCACAAAACCACCAAACAUUCUGUGCCAUUUUAUAGGUUUCUGAAAGUUGCCACAUAGAUCAUCCCACUAGAUUCCAUGGUCUAGGCAGGGUAGCAGCUGGGUUUAAGGUGUCCGUUAUUACUUGCAAAAUAUUUGAUGCCUAAAGAACAACUUAAGAUAUUAAUAGUGUAGGAGUGCAUAAUAUGCUAUUUAAGAGCAGGGACUCUAGAAACAGGACUGCCUGAGCUCAAAUCCUUGUUCUUCCACUAACAAGCUGUGUGAUUAUAUAUAUAUAUAUAUUUUUUUUUUGAGGAAGAUUAGCCCUGAGCUAACA